rnacentral:rRNA from 1 species
AACGAACGCUGGCGGCAGGCCUAACACAUGCAAGUCGAACGAUGCAGCAAUACAUAGUGGCGCACGGGUGCGUAACGCGUGGGAAUAUACCCAUAGGUGCGGAAUAAUGUCUGGAAACGGACACUAAUACCGCAUAAUGACUCCGGUCCCAAGAUUUAACGCCUAGGGAUUAGCCCGCGUCUGAUUAGUUAGUUGGUAGGGUAAUGGCCUACCAAGACGAUGAUCAGUAGCUGCUCUGAGAGGAUGAUCAGCCACACCAGAACUGAGACACGGGCCCGACUCCUACGGGCGGUCGCAGUCGGCAAUAUUGGCCGACGUGCGCAAGUCUGGUCCAGCCCUGCCGCGUGAGUGAAGAAGGCCUUAGUAUUGUAGAUCUCUUUUAAUAGUGACCAUAAUGACGUUAGCUAUAGAAAAAGCCCCGGCUAAAUUCGUGCCAGCCGCCGCGGUAA